AUUGAACGCUGGCGGCAUGCCUUACACAUGCAAGUCGAACGGCAGCACGGGGCAACCUGGUGGCGAGUGGCGAACGGGUGAGUAAUGCAUCGGAACGUACCUUUCAGUGGGGGAUAACGUAGCGAAAGUUACGCUAAUACCGCAUAUUCUGUGAGCAGGAAAGCAGGGGAUCGCAAGACCUUGCGCUGAUUGAGCGGCCGAUGUCAGAUUAGCUAGUUGGUGAGGUAAAGGCUCACCAAGGCGACGAUCUGUAGCGGGUCUGAGGGGAUGAUCCGCCACACUGGAACUGAGACACGGUCAAUACUCCUACGGGAGGCAGCAGUGGGGAAUUUUGGACAAUGGGCGCAAGCCUGAUCCAGCCAUGCCGCGUGAGUGAAGAAGGCCUUCGGGUUGUAAAGCUCUUUCGGCCGGGAAGAAAUCGUAUGGGUUAAUACCCUGUGCGGAUGACGGUACCGGCAUAAGAAGCACCGGCUAACUACGUGCCAGCAGCCGCGGUAACAC
rnacentral:rRNA from 1 species